GAUGAACGCUAGCGGCAGGCCUAACACAUGCAAGUCGAGGGAGAAGCCCUUUCGGGGGCAGAAACCGGCGCACGGGUGCGUAACCCGUAUGCAACCUACCUUUCACGGGGGGAUAGCCCGAAGAAAUUUGGAUUAAUACCCCAUAAUAUUAUUGGAUGGCAUCAUUUGAUAAUUAAAACUGCGGUGGUGAAAGAUGGGCAUGCGUCCUAUUAGCUAGUUGGAGUGGUAACGGCACCCCAAGGCUACGAUAGGUAGGGGUCCUGAGAGGGAGAUCCCCCACACUGGUACUGAGACAGGGACCAGACUCCUACGGGAGGCAGCAGUGAGGAAUAUUGGUCAAUGGUCGGAAGACUGAACCAGCCAUGCCGCGUGCAGGAAGAAUGCCUUAUGGGUUGUAAACUGCUUUUAUAUGGGAAGAAUAAGGUGUACGUGUACAUUGAUGACGGUACCAUAUGAAUAAGCAUCGGCUAACUCCGUG
rnacentral:rRNA from 1 species